CCUACGGGUGGCAGCAGUGGGGAAUAUUGGACAAUGGGGGGAACCCUGAUCCAGCGACGCCGCGUGAGUGAAGAAGUAUUUCGGUAUGUAAAGCUCUAUCAGCAGGGAAGAAAGGAAUGACGGUACCUGACUAAGACGCCCCGGCUAACUACGUACCAGCAGCCGCGGUAAUACGUAGGGGGCAAGCGUUAUCCGGAUUUACUGGGUGGAAAGGGAGCGUAGACGGUUACGCAAGUCUGGAGUGAAAGGCGGGGGCCCAACCCCCGGACGGCUUUGGAAACUGUAUAACUGGAGUGCAGGAGAGGUAAGUGGAAUUCCUAGUGUAGCGGUGAAAUGCGUAGAUAUUAGGAGGAACACCAGUGGCGAAGGCGGCUUACUGGACUGUAACUGACGUUGAGGCUCGAAAGCGUGGGGAGCAAACAGGAUUAGAUACCCCAGUAGUC
rnacentral:rRNA from 1 species